rnacentral:rRNA from 1 species
AUUGAACGCUGGCGGCAGGCUUAACACAUGCAAGUCGAACGAGUGGCGGACGGGUGAGUAAUGCUUGGGAAUCUAGCUUAUGGAGGGGGAUAACUACGGGAAACUGUAGCUAAUACCGCGUACCAUAGGAUGAGCCCAAGUGGGAUUAGGUAGUUGGUGAGGUAAAGGCUCACCAAGCCGAGGAUCUCUCGCUGGUCUGAGAGGGUGACCAGCCACACUGGGAAUGAUGCACGGCCGAGACUCCUACGGGAGGCAGCAGUGGGGAAUAUUGCGCGAGGGAGGCGAUCUAGCGCAGCCAUGCCGCGUGAAUGAAGAAGGCCUUCGGGGUGUAGGGGUCUUUCGGUAGCAUGGCGGUACCUGCAGAAGAAGCACCGGCUAACUCCGUGCCAGCAGCCGCGGUAAUUC